rnacentral:misc_RNA from 1 species
GAAAUGCGAUAAGUAAUGUGAAUUGCAGAAUUCAGUGAAUCAUCGAAUCUUUGAACGCACAUUGCGCCCGCCAGUAUUCUGGCGGGCAUGCCUGUUCGAGCGUCAUUUCAACCAUCAAGCCCCCGGCUUGUGUUGGGGACCUGCGGCUGCCCGCAGGCCCUGAAAACCAGUGGCGGGCUCGCUGUCACACCGAGCGUAGUAGCAUACAUCUCGCUCAGGGCGUGCUGCGGGUUCCGGCCGUUAAAAGCCUUUUUUACCCAAGGUUGACCUCGGAUCAGGUAGGAAGACCCGCUGAACUGACGC